AUGGGAACGCGAAGAACCUUACCUAGACUUGACAUCUCCUGAAUUACUCGUAACUGAGGAAAUCCCUUCGGGGACAGGAAGACAGGUGGUGCAUGGUUGUCGUCAGCUCGUGUCGUGAGAUGUUGGGUUAAGUCCCGCAACGAGCGCAACCCUUAUCAUUAGUUGCUAACAUUUAGUUGAGCACUCUAGUGAGACUGCCUGGGUUAACCAGGAGGAAGGUGGGGAUGACGUCAAAUCAUCAUGCCCCUUAUGUCUAGGGCCACACACGUGCUACAAUGGUGGGGACAAAAAGAUGCGAAACCGCAAGGUUGAGCCAAACUCAAAACCCCAUCCCAGUUCGGAUUGUAGGCUGAAACUCGCCUACAUGAAGCCGGAGUUGCUAGUAAUCGCGAAUCAGAAUGUCGCGGUGAAUACGUUCCCGGGUCUUGUACACACCG
rnacentral:rRNA from 1 species